AGCUCCAAUAGCGUAUAUUAAAGUUGCUGCAGUUAAAAAGCUCGUAGUUGCAUUUCCGAGGCAAGGGAUUAGUCCGACCUUUGGUGGGUAUUUAAUCCUCUUGCCUCGUCCUUGAGUGGUGCUUCUUGGUAUUAAGUUAUCGAGGAGAUAGCCGCUCAUCGUUUACUGUGAGAAAAUUAGAGUGUUCAAAGCAGGCUUAUGCCGUUGAAUAUAUUAGCAUGGAAUAAUAAGAUAGGACCGCGGUACUAUUUUGUUGGUUUGAGAACCAAGGUAAUGAUGAAUAGGGACAGUUGGGGGUAUUCGUAUUCAGUGGUCAGAGGUGAAAUUCUUAGAUUUACGGAAGACGAACUACUGCGAAAGCAUUUACCAAGGAUGUUUUCA
rnacentral:rRNA from 1 species